rnacentral:rRNA from 1 species
GACGAACGCUGGCGGCGUGCCUAAUACAUGCAAGUAGAACGCUGAAGAGAGGAGCUUGCUCUUCUUGGAAGAGUUGCGAACGGGUGAGUAACGCGUAGGUAACCUGCCUUGUAGCGGGGGAUAACUAUUGGAAACGAUAGCUAAUACCGCAUAACAAUGGGUGACCCAUGUCAUUCAUUUGAAAGGGGCAAUUGCUCCACUACAAGAUGGACCUGCGUUGUAUUAGCUAGUAGGUGAGGUAACGGCUCACCUAGGCGACGAUACAUAGCCGACCUGAGAGGGUGAUCGGCCACACUGGGACUGAGACACGGCCCAGACUCCUACGGGAGGCAGCAGUAGGGAAUCUUCGGCAAUGGGGGCAACCCUGACCGAGCAACGCCGCGUGAGUGAAGAAGGUUUUCGGAUCGUAAAGCUCUGUUGUAAGUCAAGAACGAGUGUGAGAGUGGAAAGUUCACACUGUGACGGUAGCUUACCAGAAAGGGACGGCUAACUACGUGCCAGCAGCCGCGGUAAUACGUAGGUCCCGAGCGUUGUCCGGAUUUAUUGGGCGUAAAGCGAGCGCAGGCGGUUUGAUAAGUCUGAAGUUAAAGGCUGUGGCUCAACCAUAGUUCGCUUUGGAAACUGUCAAACUUGAGUGCAGAAGGGGAGAGUGGAAUUCCAUGUGUAGCGGUGAAAUGCGUAGAUAUAUGGAGGAACACCGGUGGCGAAAGCGGCUCUCUGGUCUGUAACUGACGCUGAGGCUCGAAAGCGUGGGGAGCGAACAGG